rnacentral:rRNA from 1 species
AGCAGCCGCAGUAAUUCCAGCUCCAAUAGCGUAUAUUAAAGUUGUUGCAGUUAAAAAGCUCGUAGUUGAAUUUCGGAAUCAGUACGCCAGUCAUGCUUCAGUAUGUACUAGUGUCACUGAUUCCUUCCUUCUGACGAACCGUCAUGCCAUUAAUUUAGUGUGAUGUGGAAUCAGGACUGUUACUUUGAAAAAUUAGAGUGUUUAAAGAAGGCUCGCGCUUAAAUACAUUAGCAUGGAAUAAUGAAAUAGGACGUUUGAUCUUAUUUUGUUGGUUUCUAGGAUCGAUGUAAUGAUUAAUAGGGAUAGUUGGGGGCAUUAGUAUUCAAUUGUCAGAGGUGAAAUUCUUGGAUUUAUUGAAGACUAACUACUGCGAAAGCAUUUGCCAAGGAUGUUUUCAUUAAUCAAGA